UACGGGGGAUGCAAGCGUUAUCCGGAAUUAUUGGGCGUAAAGCGCCUGUAGGUGGCUUAUUAAGUCCGUUGUUAAAGGUUAGGGCUCAACCCUAAAAAAGCAAUGGAAACUGGUAAGCUUGAGUAUGGCAGGGGUAGAGGGAAUUUCUAGUGUAGCGGUGAAAUGCGUAGAUAUUAGAAAGAACACCGGUGGCGAAAGCGCUCUACUGGACCAUUACUGACACUCAGAGGCGAAAGCUAGGGGAGCAAAAGGG
rnacentral:rRNA from 1 species